rnacentral:rRNA from 1 species
CCUACGGGUGGCAGCAGUGGGGAAUAUUGCACAAUGGGGGAAACCCUGAUGCAGCGACGCCGCGUGAGCGAUGAAGUAUUUCGGUAUGUAAAGCUCUAUCAGCAGGGAAGAAAAUGACGGUACCUGACUAAGAAGCCCCGACUAACUACGUGCCAGCAGCCGCGGUAAUCCGUAGGGGGCAAGCGUGAUCCGUAUUUACUGGGUUUAAAGGGAGGGAAGCCGGCUGUGGAAGCCAGAUGUGAAAGCCCGGGGCUCAACCCCGGGACUGCAUUUGGAACUGUGUGGCUGGAGUGUCGGAGAGGCAGGCGGAAUUCCUAGUGUAGCGGUGAAAUGCGUAGAUAUUAGGAGGAACACCAGUGGUGAAGGCGGCCUGCUGGACGAUGACUGACGUUGAGGCUCGAAAGCGUGGGGAGCAAACAGGAUUAGAUACCCCAGUAGUC